UGUCAUUGGAAACACAACAGAGAAUGUAUCGAGAGUCAAAUUGUAAACAGAUUCAGCAUACAGACAAACAAGCCGCCGCUGGUAUCAUAUUCCUAAUACUCGUUGAAAUCGCGUCAGAAGUAGCAAAGCAACAUAUCAACAGCAUAAAUGUUCCAAUGAUGUGCACGAUGGAGGAAAUCGUUAUGUGUUGAUUUAUGUUAAAAAUGCGACAAACGCCGAACACCUAGAGGACAUAUUCAAGCAGAAACAUCUGUGAUUACAAAAAUAUGGUGGUGGCAGGAAAAUCAUUUCGACAGAGUGUCGAAUUUUCGUAGUCCGAUGAUGUAUUGAAUGAAUGACAACAUCGAUGGAGAUGAUGGAUGACCCCGGCAUAUCAGUGAUGUGCAAUCGAACGUCGUGAUUAUAAACAUAAACUGACUGGUGGAAUCAUUACACUGUAGCGCACUCGAUAACCCAACAACAACUUUAUCAAGAACAUUGAAGCUCAAGACGCAAACAAACUCUACCGUCUCAACUGUUAAUGUUGUCGAGGCCAGGUAUUGCAGAAUGCGAUAACGAUAGUUGAGCUGAUUGCUACCAAAUAUCCGAUGAUGAAAUUUACAUCUCUUGAGAUGUACCUGAUGACGAUAGAAAUCACCCGAUAGCGUUGGAAACGGUCGUGCUGGGUCCUACGGCGAGACUAUGAAGAAAUAUUGCGAAAAUUCAAAACUGAUAUAAUUAAUUAUUGAUAGUCGAAAAUGUUUAGCUUUAGAUUGUUUACCAUAAAUGUUAGUCAAUCCGUUUAAAGUAUUUAUAAUGUAGUGUCGGGGGGGUAAACAUAAUAUAACUGUAUAAAUUUAUAAAAAUAAUAAAUAUCAG